GCAUCCCACGAGAAUCUUUAAUAAGAAAAGCUAUGCCAAUAAACUUCUCAAUGUAUACGUUGCGUCAUGUUAAAUGCCAAGAUGCCAAAUGUUCUUGCACACAAGAACUGGAAAACAACAUUCGACAUGAAAUUUCAGAAAUUAGUGAUGACAUCUUGCAGGCUUCUCUUCAAAGAUAAAGCGUCGCAUUCGGUUAUGACUGAACGACUCUCAAAUUCUCUGUUCCAGUUUCUAUGGAAUCGACAUUCUUCUCAUAGUGUAAGUUUUGCUUCACUUUCGUUUUUACCGUUUGAUCUCCAUUUCCAGCUUGUAGAGGUUGAUUUUACUUCAGUUUUAAGAUUAACUGUACAUUUGUUGGCUUUUUAAUUUUGCAUUUCUCCAUACACCAAUCUGUUGAAGAAGAUCUACCAAGAGAGUCACUUUUGUUAAAAGCUACUUAAAAUGGAAAUAAUGGAAAGAAUGAACUCAAUUGCUCUUCAGCUAGUUUUAUUUACAUCUUUUAUAUAUUUCGAAACCUCUUUUGGACAGAAAGGAGACUUUGAAAUCAAAACCCAUACAUAAAACUAUUCAGGAUUCUAUAUUAACGGUUUUAUUUUAAAAUGUUAAGAUACUGAGUUUUAAGUGAAAGCAUUACAAAUGCAUAAUUGAAUUCUUUACACUGUUGAGAAGUAAUCAUAAGAAUAAAUAGUUUCGGAUGGAAAGUUUCGAUUUGUGAUAUAAACCGUUAGAAGUGUUCUUAUUAAAUGUUUCCCUCUUGUAAAAAGUCUUUAAUCAAAACUUACUCCAAAGGCAAAUAACGUUUAUAAGAAGUUAUUUGCCUUUGGAAUACUGUUUAAUUCCGUAACAGAUAGUAUUCAUUUAUUUCCUUAACUAAUCUAACUCAUCGAUUUGCAAGUGAAGUAUUCUUAAAUUAUUUCUGAAUAUAUUUGAUGUUUUAAAGGAGAGGCUUUAUGAGUUAAAUAGUAUGCAUAUUAAUGCACUAAAAUCAUUAAUUGCUUCUGGAAGCUGAGUUUUCUCAAAUGUUUAA